UAUAUAAUAAGCUAAGUUAAGCUACUAGGUUCAUACCCUGGCGAUAAAUUUAAUAAUUUUUAUAUAA
rnacentral:tRNA from 1 species